AUCCCACGCGUAAAGGAUGCGACGGUGAAUAAUAUGGCCCAGGCCCUCGGGACACUUGUUGGCUCCUAACGGAGCUGAACCUACUAUCUUAGCUUGUACCACCUGGACUUGUAUGAAGAAGGUCAUAGCUCUUGAAAUACACUGUGCUUUGGAGAGACCCAAAAGCGGUAGUCCUGAAAUCAAUCUAGUGUCUCCUAGCCUUAGAAAUGGCUGGGGAGGGGCUCCAGAGUGGUUCAGUCGGUUAAGCGUCAGACUUCGGCUCAGAUGAUAAGAACAGGGAUGCGGAGUUCAGAGUUGACUCCAAAGAAGGAAAUUUCUAAAAGGUCAGAAUCAUCGAAUGGGACAUCAGGAGGAUCCUGUGUGGUGGUUCCUGAGGGAUCAGAAGCUAUAGGCCUGUAAAGAUACUUCAGAGGAACUAAAAGGCCAACCCUCACAUGGAGAAGGAGAAGCUGAAAGACAGCAAGGAAGUCUUAUGGAUCCUCCCAGGGUGAGUAAGUGUUGCAUCCACACAAGUCCUGAAACAGAAUGCUACGGCACCAGUGACAGUCACAGCAAAGUUUAUUGCAACGAAAGGCAAGGCCGACCAAUCGGGCCGACGCUUUUGAUCAGAGUGUAGCCUCGAACAGCCGGGUACGGAGUUUUUAUAGUCGACCACAUCAUCUUGUCAUCACCUGGGAACAGAACAAAGAAACAGUUCCCAGAUGGGGAUGGAAACAGUUCUGCCACUGCAACCAGUUGACCUCCUUGACCCUGCCUCUGGCGCCACUUUUAAAACAAAGCUGUUAUCUCUUAGCCUACAGUGUCAAAACAAAGCUGUUAUUUCUCAAGGCUACAGGUUAGCCCUACACUACAAUUUUGCCCUUACAGUGAGUACAUCUUAAAUGAAAAAUUCACUCUGAACAUUGCAGUCUCUCUAAGCCUUUAAAUUCCUUUCCUCUAGUGGCACCUCAGUCAGUUAAGUAUCCAACUCAUUUUUUUGUUUUGUUGUUUUGGGUUUUUUUUUUUAAUGUUUAUUUUUGAAAGAGUGCACGUGCACACGAGAGAGAGAGAGAGAGAGAGAGACAGAGAGAGAGAGACAGAGAGAGAGAGCGCAGUGGAGGGGCACACAGAAAGGGAGACAGAGGAUCCGAAACAGGGUUCUUGCUGUCAGCCCAGAGCCCGACGUGGUGAAAUCAUGACCCCAAGCAGAAGUCAGACGCUUAACCAACUGAGCCACCCAGGCACCCCAAGCAUCCAACUCUUGAUAUCAGCUCAUGUCUUGAUCUCAGGGUUGUGAGUGUCAGCCCCACAUUGGGUUCCAUGUGGAGUUGGAGCCUACAUUAAAAAAAAAAAAAAAAAAUCCUUUCUCUAAAUUAAACAAAGGGAGAUUGGGAAUUUCCAAUUCACUCCCAGGGGGCUAUCUUUUGGUUUGUGUUUCAGCCAGUCAAUGAAACAAACUCCCAGAGUUUACCAAUUCAAAUGCUAAACUCUUCUAGAAAUAACUUCACAGACACACCCAGAAAUAAUAUCUUAUCAACUAUCUGGUAUCUCUUAGCCUAGUCAAGUUCAAUAUAAAGUUAACCAUCACAACAGUUUAUCCCUUUAAUUGAUGUGGAAUCUCAUCUAAUUAACAUCAUCUCAUUCAAUCCUGAUAUAGGUACUUUCUGUCUUCUUUUCAUCUUUACUAAGUCUUAUAAAUUUUAUUGAUAUUUCUGAAAUAACUACUUUGGAGGCCACCUGGGUGGCUCAGUUAGUUAAGCAUCUGACUUUUGAUUUUGGCUCAGGUCAUGAUAUCAUGGUUGUGAGAUCCAGCCCUGCAUUGGGCUCUGCACUGACAGUGCACAGAAACUACUUAGGAUUUUGCUGCUCUCUCCUCUCUCUCUGCCCCUCCCCUCUUUGCACGCUCUCUCUCUCUCAAAAUGAAUAAACUAAACUAAACUAAAAUAACCACUUUGGGUUUCAUUGAUUUUCUCUAUACUUUUCCUGUUUGUUUUCUAGUUUUCCACUUUGACCAUAUUAUUUCAUUUCUUCCUAUUUUGACCCUCAUUUGCUCUUCUGAUUCUAGUUUCUUAACCUUUCCUCUUUUUUAAAAAAAAUUUUUUUUUAACGUUGAUUUAUUUUUGAGACAGAGAGAGGCAGAGCAUGAAUGGGGGAGGGUCAGAGAGAGAGGGAGACACAGAAUCUGAAACAGACUCCAGGCUGUGACUGUCAGCACAGAGCCCGAUGCGGGGCUCGAACUCAUGGACCGAGAGAUCAUGACCUGAGCCAAAGUUGGAUGCUUAACCGACUGAGCCACCCAGGCACCCCUCCUCCUUUCUAAUAUACACAUUUAGUGCUAUAAUUUCCCUCUAAAUACUGCUUUAACAACUCUCCAUAAAUUUUGAUUUUGAGUCAAUUCAAAAUACUUUCUAAUAUACUUUUUAUAUUAUGUUUG